rnacentral:lncRNA from 1 species
GGCUCACUGAUGUUAGCAAUCUGGGCACUCUGGUCAGAGCCACAGUCCUCCUAUAGGCUCAUUUCCUCCAGCCUACUCCCACCCACCCACCUCUUGAACUUCUAAACACAGACAAGCUUUUAUUUACCACUGCCCUUUAAUUAUCUUGUGGGCUCCAAAGCCAACCAUAGAAAGACGUUUGCGUUUGCUCAGCAGAGAUAAACUGUAUAUUCCAAGGAAAAUGAACUAAUUAGUCAAGGGACUUUUGAAAGGGAACAGGGUACAGCUGACCUAAAAAUGUCCUUUUUUCAUAAGCUCUUUAUUUUCUGUUAACUCCAUAAGGUGAUCUCCAAGGUCCUUACAACUGUCAUUCUGUGAUUUUUCUGACUACUGACUGUGAAUACAUAAUUUGCAUUUUGUAUACAGGGACUUUCUAAGUCUGCUCCAUGCCUCUUAUUCACUGGCCCAGUUCUAAACAGAAAAAGGCUUUUUCUAAGUGGCAGCCCUUCUACAGGCU